rnacentral:tRNA from 1 species
GGAGAGGUGCCGGAGUGGUCGAACGGGCUUGACUCGAAAUCAAGUGUACAGCUUGCUGUACCGUGGGUUCGAAUCCCACCCUCUCCGCCA